AUCUUUCCUAAAUUUUGACCACAAUCAAAGUGAAAUUAAUCACCAAAAAUGACUCUCAAUACACAGCUAUAUAAAUCCUCCUACCCUAAUCUCUUUCCCUCACACAAAUUCACAGCCACUCACAAAAAAAAAACGGCGGAGGGAGCAGUAAAAAGGGAAAAGCCAAAAGCUUCAAUCUUAUUCUGUUUCAAGCCAAUUGUUCUUUUGAAGGUUGAGCGGCGACGAGCGGUUGGCGGUGUUGAGCAAAUUAAAUGAAGAAUUAAACAUUUAGAUAUUUUUUACUAUGAGUGUCGUUGUGUCUUCACACAUGACGUCACUUUUCUCUUGGAUGCUCCCGCUGAAACUCGUUUUACUUAUUGUUGAAUUCUCGAAACUAAUUUGAUUUCGUUUAAAAUCUAAAGACAUGAUAUGUUUUUGGAAUACGUUGAAACCCCGUUAUUUCGAAAUAGAUUAUGAUAAUUGUAUCA